rnacentral:rRNA from 1 species
CAAUAGCGUAUAUUUAAGUUGCUGCAGAUAAAAAGCUCGUAGUUGGAUUUCGGGUGGGAAUGGCCGGUCCGCCGUUUCGGUGUGCACUUGCUACGCCCACCUUGCUGCCGGGGACGUGCUCUUGAGUUCACGCUCGGGACACGGAGUCGGCGAGGUUACUUUGAGUAAAUUAGAGUGUUCAAAGCAGGCCUACGCUCUGAAUACAUUAGCAUGGAAUAACACGAUAGGACUCUGGCCUAUCUUGUUGGUCUGUAGGACCGGAGUAAUGAUUAAGAGGGACAGUCGGGGGCAUUCGUAUUUCAUUGUCAGAGGUGAAAUUCUUGGAUUUAUGAAAGACGAACUACUGCGAAAGCAUUUGCCAAGGAUGUUUUCAUUAA